GGCGAUGGACAGUGGAGGUGAGGUGACAAAUAUGUCCUCGUAACAGAAUUAUCGGGGCGAUGGUCGUAAUUUCAACAAACACGUAACCACAUGCAAUCCUCUGCGUCACUACGGCGGGAAAGCCGGGAUUUCUCGGCUCCGGUUGUACAGCUCCUGGUCCGAUGUCCCACCCCACUUUCUGCUUCCGCUGUAUCUCACCUCAUGUCAAACACACAAUCGACCCAACCAAAAACCAGUUCCCUCGCAGCUGAUCCCCUAAUUCCAUCUUUAGACUGCUCCGAUUGGCUUUAUAUCUUUGUUCGCUGCGUUAUUAUUUUCUGAAAGACGAAAUUACCCUCGAAACAGUAGCCAUGUUUUUCGCUCUCCCGCUGUAAUUCUCGGAGCAGCUUCCAUCCACGGACAGAGAACCAAAGUAGACGCCGGUUUCGUCCGCAACCCAGCGCAACUUUAUGUCGCCGAGCCACAAAAAGUGCUACACGCUCGACUUCAUUAUUCGUGCUAUUAAUCACGAAUCAUGGCGUGCCACGUGCAUGGCUCUAGAAGGAGACGAGAAGGUUUUGAACGUGGGG
rnacentral:lncRNA from 1 species